rnacentral:rRNA from 1 species
GGCAUGCUGGAGGUAUCAGAAGUGCGAAUGCUGACAUAAGUAACGAUAAAGCGGGUGAAAAGCCCGCUCGCCGGAAGACCAAGGGUUCCUGUCCAACGUUAAUCGGGGCAGGGUGAGUCGACCCCUAAGGCGAGGCCGAAAGGCGUAGUCGAUGGGAAACGGGUUAAUAUUCCCGUACUUGGUGUUACUGCGAAGGGGGGACGGAGAAGGCUAUGUUGGCCGGGCGACGGUUGUCCCGGUUUAAGCGUGUAGGCUGGUUUUCCAGGCAAAUCCGGAAAAUCAAGGCUGAGGCGUGAUGACGAGGCACUACGGUGCUGAAGCAACAAAUGCCCUGCUUCCAGGAAAAGCCUCUAAGCAUCAGGUAACAUCAAAUCGUACCCCAAACCGACACAGGUGGUCAGGUAGAGAAUACCAAGGCGCUUGAGAGAACUCGGGUGAAGGAACUAGGCAAAAUGGUGCCGUAACUUCGGGAGAAGGCACGCUGACACGUAGGUGAAGUGAUUUACUCAUGGAGCUGAAGUCAGUCGAAGAUACCAGCUGGCUGCAACUGUUUAUUAAAAACACAGCACUGUGCAAACACGAAAGUGGACGUAUACGGUGUGACGCCUGCCCGGUGCCGGAAGGUUAAUUGAUGGGGUCAGCGCAAGCGAAGCUCCUGAUCGAAGCCCCGGUAAACGGCGGCCGUAACUAUAACGGUCCUAAGGUAGCGAAAUUCCUUGUCGGGUAAGUUCCGACCUGCACGAAUGGCGUAAUGAUGGCCAGGCUGUCUCCACCCGAGACUCAGUGAAAUUGAACUCGCUGUGAAGAUGCAGUGUACCCGCGGCAAGACGGAAAGACCCCGUGAACCUUUACUAUAGCUUGACACUGAACAUUGAGCCUUGAUGUGUAGGAUAGGUGGGAGGCUUUGAAGUGUGGACGCCAGUCUGCAUGGAGCCGACCUUGAAAUACCACCCUUUAAUGUUUGAUGUUCUAACGUGGACCCGUUACCCGGGUUGCGGACAGUGUCUGGUGGGUAGUUUGACUGGGGCGGUCUCCUCCUAAAGAGUAACGGAGGAGCACGAAGGUUGGCUAAUCCUGGUCGGACAUCAGGAGGUUAGUGCAAUGGCAUAAGCCAGCUUGACUGCGAGCGUGACGGCGCGAGCAGGUGCGAAAGCAGGUCAUAGUGAUCCGGUGGUUCUGAAUGGAAGGGCCAUCGCUCAACGGAUAAAAGGUACUCCGGGGAUAACAGGCUGAUACCGCCCAAGAGUUCAUAUCGACGGCGGUGUUUGGCACCUCGAUGUCGGCUCAUCACAUCCUGGGGCUGAAGUAGGUCCCAAGGGUAUGGCUGUUCGCCAUUUAAAGUGGUACGCGAGCUGGGUUUAGAACGUCGUGAGACAGUUCGGUCCCUAUCUGCCGUGGGCGCUGGAGAACUGAGGGGGGCUGCUCCUAGUACGAGAGGACCGGAGUGGACGCAUCACUGGUGUUCGGGUUGUCAUGCCAAUGGCACUGCCCGGUAGCUAAAUGCGGAAGAGAUAAGUGCUGAAAGCAUCUAAGCACGAAACUUGCCCCGAGAUGAGUUCUCCCUGAGACUUAGAGUCUCCUGAAGGAACGUUGAAGACGAC